CUUCCUUUUCUCUCUCAAUCAACACUUUCUUUUUCCUUAUGUUCCCUCGUAUCAUGUUCGUUUUCUCUUCUUUGCUCUUACUUUUCUUUUUUCUUCAAAUUUUCAUUUCCAGCUCUUAGCUAAACUUAUUUUGGAAAUGGGCGAUGUCGGACGAUUCUUGCUUCUCCGUCAGAAAUUGUAUCCGGUAAUUUCCAGCCUUAGACGGAUCGGGGCUACGAGGGGCUCGGAGGAAGCCACACACACUAUUUAUGUUAUAGUUUUGAUUAUUGCUUUUAAAUGUUUUUAUGUGGGUUGUAGUAAAGCCGUUGUAAUUUUUUGGAUUUCAAAUUUGGAAUUUUAUUUAUUGUUCUUAUAAUUGCUAGUAUUAGAACAUGAUUUUCCAAAGCAACUACUGUUGUUCAAAACAUCACGUAACCGCAAUUGUUUUUAAAUUAAGUGUCAGCAACUGCCAGGAUUUUUUUUACAAA